UAUAUUGUCUCUGUCAAGAAUUAUUGUGGUCCAGUUCUCUCUGACCUAAUCCACUCAUUUAAAUUACAACAGGGGAAAAAAAAUCUCUCCGUUCAAAGAAACAGAGAAACUUCAGAGAGUCUUUUAUCUAAUGAACUCUUUGCAAAAGAUUGUAUAGGACAAGAACUUCCAGACAUCAACCUUAUUUUGGUACAAAUGGAUGUGUUAUCGUGAAGAAAAGUUUCCUCAGAAAUCAUCCUGACUUGUAGGAGGUUUGGCUUUUUCCUGCAUCUGUGCUAAGAAACAUGAUCAAACUGAAGGGAGGAAGAAGCUGAGUGUACAAGAAAUCGAAGAAAUUCCAUGCUUAUAACAGAUUUUCAGCAAAAGAGACUUUUGGCAUCCAAAAAACUGGGCACUGAUGAGAACUGACUCAUCUGAAGUUUGAAUGAGAUUCAUUCUGGGCUCUGUUAUGAUGACAAAGUAGGAUGUUCGAAUCUGUGAAGCUGUUUGCAUUAUUUCAGGGACAUAAAAAUGGGUUUAAAUUUGAUGUUGUUUCUUUGUUAAGAGCAUCUUAUGUUCAGCCAGGGCUACAUCACAUGUAACGAUUGCCUGAUAAGACAAACACCAUCUCUAUGAACAGCCCCCUGCCGUCAACACUGCCCUUGUCACAAACCCAGAACAUUUCCUCCAGCUUUCUUGAUCUGUAAGUCUACUGCAAUAUUACAAAGUUUUUAUUCUUAAAAAAUAAAUUCCAGGCACAUUCACAGAAUCAAAGAAGAAAUCAAGUUGGAUGGGAUCCUUGAAGGUCAUCUUGUACAACCCUCCUGCGUUGUUAAUGAUCUCAGGAAAGAGCUUAAAUCUGAACGUUCCUCUUCAUCACCAGCCUUCUACAAUGAAUGAGGAUGUCUUUGAGCUGAAACAUAAACAGGAAAAUGCUUUAAACCACUUGAUUUUCUUCUGAUACUGAGUUUUAGCCAACAUUAUUCAUGGACCGAUCAAAGGAGGCAUAGUGUUGAAUUACCUUGGGUUGUCUGCAGUUCUCAAAGGGUCAUUUUGAGAGCUGAGAUUGUGUACUGGUUACAGCUAAGAUUGAGUUAAAUAUCUUUCUGGUGUCUUGAAUGAGGCAAAGUCAUUGUCAAAGGUUGUGUCUCAGAUGAAA